ACCCGCUGAACUUAAGCAUAUCAAUAAGCGGAGGAAAAGAAACCAACAGGGAUUGCCUCAGUAACGGCGAGUGAAGCGGCAACAGCUCAAAUUUGAAAUCUGGCUCCUUCGGGGCCCGAGUUGUAAUUUGCAGAGGAUGCGUCGGGUACGGGUGCCUUCCGAGUUCCCUGGAACGGGACGCCAUAGAGGGUGAGAGCCCCGUCUGGUAGGACACCCAGCCCGUGUGACGCUCCCUCGACGAGUCGAGUAGUUUGGGAAUGCUGCUCUAACGGGAGGUAUACUCCUUCCAAGGCUAAAUACCGGCCAGAGACCGAUAGCGCACAAGUAGAGUGAUCGAAAGAUGAAAAGCACUUUGAAAAGAGGGUUAAAUAGUACGUGAAAUUGCUGAAAGGGAAGCGCUUAUGACCAGACUUGGGCUCGGUGAAUCAUCCGGCGUUCUCGCCGGUGCACUUUGCCGUCCCAGGCCAGCAUCAGUUCGCGCCGGGGGAUAAAGGUUUCGGGAAUGUAGCUCCCUCGGGAGUGUUAUAGCCCGUUGCGUAAUACCCUGGCGUGGACUGAGGUCCGCGCUCUGCAAGGAUGCUGGCGUAAUGGUCAUCAGUGACCCGUCUUGAAACACGGACCAAGGAG
rnacentral:rRNA from 1 species